GGAUGUUUAGUUUCUAAUAUAAUAUACUUAUCGUUCAAAAAAACGCUAAUAAUUAGAUGCCCUCCCCUGAACCUAGGACCCCAACAUCGUUACCUCCUAAACAAAAGAGGACUGCCCUCUCUCACCUCUCCAUUUUCAAUAGAAGAAUGGAGAACCCUCCUGAUUUUGGAAACCAGCAUUCCCUCCUCUUCUAAUCUUACUCUUAUCUAAUCAUCAUCUCACUCACACACACCAGAAAAUUAACCCCCCCCCCCCCAAUUUGGUCAUUUCGAUUGAGAACAGAAGAAGAGCAAAAUCAUGAGAAAAUCAGUCUCCUCUAGUCUUCAAUGGUAUUUCAAAUUCGAAAAUUCCUAAAGCAUCUAUAGUUUCUUCUUCUAGAUUUCGAUUUCAAAAACCAUGGAUUGAAGAUGAAACGGGAGUUCGAUUAUUGGAGUUGAUGUUCUAAUUUGUUUCCGGUUGAGUUCCGAUUAUUUGCUAGUUAGUUUGCUGCUGUUGAUUGCUGAAAUUUCUGCGGAGCUUCAGUCGAGUUUUUCUCGAUUUUUAGUCAGUUUAUUUGAGUUUUCUUGUUCAACCAGGUUAGUUUGAAGAUUCUCUAUAUUCUUGCUUGAUAUUACAUGAAUAAUUGAUUGAAACUACUUUUGAACUUGCUAAAUGAAUCCUGUUAAAUUCAAUUACUAUGUUUAUGAGUUAGUAAUAUUAGCCUUCAUGAUCUAUGGUUAAAAGCGGAUUCUGCUUAACACAACAGGAUGUCCGUAGUUGUUGUUAUUGCAUUUUCAUGCAAGAUGGACUCUGAAAAUCUGAUGUAGUAGCUUUCCUCUGUAGAAGAUUUUGAUUAGGCAUGAUAUACUUUAACAAGAUCUAUGACAUUUGAACGUUGGUUACUAUGAACUUCUGUAUUAUAUUUUGGCAGGAAAUUAGUAAUUUUCUCUCAUGAAUCUUACUUAUUUCUAAUAUAUUCCAUUUAUUCAAUGGUAUACUUUUUUCAGACUUAUUCUACUAUAUAUAUAUCCUGAAUAAAUAUGUGACCAUGUACGAAGGCUAUUCUAUUUUUCAAGUCAUGGACAGGUCCCUGUAAAUUCCUUUGCUUUGUGGCAUGUUAAGUUUCCUUCCUAGAAAUGUGGUUGAUGAAUUGAUUCAUUGUGCGAAAUAGAGUCAUUACUGUAUAUUAGCAUUUGAUUCCUUGAAACAAUAGUGAUGGUGAAGUAUGUUAAUUCUUGAAUGGAGUAAUUUCUUAAUGACUUGAUAUGUGAAGAUCGACCCUUUUGUUCUCCAAAGUUGGUUCAUUUUAAUCUCCAGUAGUGACUUGAUAAUACAAAGGUUGGGAGAUCCAAGAACUUAAAUAAAAUAAGUUGAUGAAAUGCGGAAGCAGUAAAGAAAUGCAAGCGGAUUAAGAAAAGCAAGAAAAAUAAACCAGAUAUGUCAAAAUUCAAGGAAAGGUCCAAGAACCUCGAUAUUAUGUUAAUCAAGAUUUUGACAAGAUCCUAAUGACAACAAGUUGGUUAUGAAACCAAUUGGCUUCACUAGAGAUUAGCUAAUCAAAAACUAGAUUCGGAUCUUGACUUCUAGUUUGAAUAACUUACUACAAUAACUAGUAAAAGAAACUAGUCUCCAUCGAAGAAUAUAAAAAAGAAACAAAAGAUAUCACAAGAAAGAAAAUAAUCUUACUACCUUAAGCUAUGAACUAGUUAGGGUUGCAAGAUAAAUCUCAAAGUAAAGUUCACAAAGGUUCAAAAGAACUCACAAUAAUAAUAUUAAUCUUUAAUGUCUUUUUGCAAUGGAAGACACACACCCCUUUAUAUAGUAGUAAAUAAGAAGCUAGUCAAUACUUCAAUAAAUGAGAAUUAUAUUCCCUAGAAGCAUAGAAGACUAUCCAUACUAAUACCAAUGUAGUCAACAUACAUAUAGACCAAUGCAAGUCAACAUAGAUUAAAACAACUAUUAAAUAUAUAUUCUAGAAACUAUUUUUGGGCUUAUUUGGGCUGCUGAAAAUUCCUCUUUUUUGGGAAAUAUUUGGGCUUCAUUCCAUCUCCUCUUGCACUUUAAUUUGGCCUCCAAAUAGUUGUAAGACUUGGCCCAAAGAUCCUAAUUUGGUGGAGCUCUUCUUCUAUUAUAAGACACUUUUAAUUGCUAAUUGAAGCCCAUUAAGCUUGUCUUGAAAUUUCUUUGUUUGAGACCUUGUCAUGGGCCUUCUUAGAGCUUCCAGAGCUUCAUCCUUCUCCUUUAAUGAUAUUGAGCUGCCAUGGAUGCUAUCAUUCCCCUAUUCUUGAAAAUAAUUCGUCCUCGAAUUCGAGCCUGCAUCAAACAAGGAAAGAUCAGAAACAUUGAAGGUAACACUAACUUCAUAUUCACUAAGAAGGUCAAGUUUGUAAGCAUUGUCUCUAAUCCUUUUAAUGACUUCAAAUGGCCCAUCUCCUCUUGUAUCUAAUUUGGAUCUUCGUUUGGCAGGAAAUCUUUCCUUCCUAAAAUGCACUCAUACUAAAUCUCCAGGCUUAAAAAUAACAGAUUUUCGCCCCUUAUUUCUUCUUAAGGCAUUUUGUUCAUUCUUUGUUUCAAUUGUAAGCCUUGUAUGUUCAUGAAUCUUCUUCAUAAUUUUAGCCUUAUUUCUACCAUCAAUAUUAACAAUGUCAUUAGUAGGAAAAUGCAAUAAAUCAAGGGGAGUGAGGGGAUUAAAUCCAUAAACAACUUCGAAAGGAGACUUAACAGAAGAAGAGUGGAUAUUUCUAUCAUAGGCAAACUCUACCAUGGGCAAAUGUUCUUCCCAAGAAGUUAAUUUUCCUUUUAAAACAGCCCUGCACAUAUUCUCUAAUGUCCUAUUAACUACUUCAGUUUGCCCAUCAGUUUGUGUGUGACAUGAAGAAAAAAAUAACAAUUUAGUUCCCAACUUCGCACAAAGAACUCUCCAAAAAAGACUUAAAAAUUUAGCAUCCUAUCACUAAUGAUAGUUUUAGGUAUGCCAUGUAAUUUAACCACUUCCUUCACAAAUAAAUCAGCCACAUGUAAUGCAUCAUUAGUCUUCAAGAAUGGAAUAAAACGAGCCAUUUUUGAAAAUCUAUCUACCACUACAAAUAUACUAUCCUUACCAUAUUUAGUUCUAGGAAGUCCUAACACAAAAUUCAUAGAAGUAUCAAUCUAAGGACAAGUAGGGACAUGUAAAGGAGUAUAAAAAACAUGUGGUAACACUUUUGUUUUGACUUGUUUACAUUCAAGACAUUGUGAGCACACUUUUUCAACAUCCUUUCGCAUGCCGGGCCAAAAAAAAAUGUCAAAAAGUAUAUCCAAAGUUUUGGGCACUCCAAAGUAUCCCAUGAGUCCACCACAAUGUGCUUCCCUAAAAAACAAUUCACGCAAAGAGCAAUUAGGAAUACACAAUUUAUUUCCUUAAAAAGGAACCCAUCUUGAAGAUUGAACCUCUCAUAAAAGCCCAACUUACAUUCUACAAAAGCCUUUGGUUAUAUGCGCAUAUAGUGUUGUUCUAUUGGGUUCUUAUAGCGAAAUUUGAGCGAGAAGAGUAUUGAGUAUUGCUUGGUGGAUGGCGCAUUGGUUAUGUUCUUUCGGGUUUUGUGUGGUGUUGUGUCAUUUGCUUCUCCAUGGUUAUGGUAAUGCACUUUGAGUAAUUGAUGUCGAAUUGCGCGUGGCUAUUAAUUUUGAGCAUGGUGGCUUGAAGUAUUUCAUGUGGACCAGUGUUUGGAUGGGAUCACGCAUUGUAGCGAAGUUAUGUAGAUGUAUGAUCCUUGGUGUAGGAUUCAUGUGUUUUGGUUCUACGAUGUGUGCUAGGCUCUUAGCGUUGUGUUGUGAUGGUACUUGUUAAGCAGGCGGGACAGUCCUCCCGUGUGAAUCUUUUCUAUGAUUUGAGUACGUUUGGGAUGUUGCUAUUGGGCGCACGAAUUGGACAAGUUAUGGCUUUGGAUUGUAUUGAUGUGUCAUGUCAUCAGAGUGGUCGUGUUGGAUGAGAAGAGGUCAUUGGACCUAGAAUGAAUACUAUAAGAAUUGACUACAACAUGGUUGGAAGGAUAAUAUCAGAAUUCAGCUUAGAAAUCUUCUAUAGUUCCUGUUGAAGAAAGAGGAGCUCCAUGACUGGUUGAUCAGAUGGAUGGUUACGAGUUUCUGCGUGUUUCAUUCAUCAUUGGUAGUAUAUGAAAGUGUUAGAAUGAGGCUUUGCUUGGUAAGAGGUUAUUUACCGGUAUUGGGUUGCUUUAAGAAGCUAUUGUGAUUAGGAGUUAUCGAUAUGAGUGUUUGAGUCAUGUGGUAUAUCAUGUGAUUACAUCUUGGGUUACGGAUAUGGUUUGAUACAGCUUGUUCGGACUUAUACAAUGUGUAUAUGCGAGAUUCUGAUUUUAUGGAAAUUUCGGAUAUGAAAUUUUUUGGUUCUAAGGCUUAUGGGCUAGGUUGAAUUAUGAAAUUUCAGUUAUAUUGUAUUAUCAAACCUAUAUGGGGUAGGGUGACUUGGGAUCACCGCUGGGUAUGUGCAUGAUAAGGUUACACAGCGAUUUGAUAGCCUUUGGAACAACUCUGGGCACGUUAGAAGAGGAAUGUAUGUUUAAGUGGGGGAGGAUGUAACGACCCGACCGAUCGUUUUGAGCAAUUGCACUUCGCUCGGUUGUUUGAGGGAAUGAGUAGCUCUGUAUGAUGUAUUAUGACUUAUGUGAAACAUCAGUAUUAGUUUUCAGGUUAUUUAGAAUUAAUUUGGAAGAAUGAUUCUCAACUAGUAGCUUUAAAUUUGAAAGGUUUGAGUAAGUUUGACUUUAUAGUAUUUGACCUCAGAUUGGAUUUCUGAUGGUUCCGUUAGCUCCAUUGGGUAAUUUUGGACUUAGGAGCGCGCCUGGAUUGUGAUUUGGAGGUCCGUAGUAAAAUUUGGCUUAAAAUGGCAAAAAUGAGAAUUUUAGAAAGUUUGACCGGGAGUGAACUUUCUGAUAUUGGGGUCAGAUUUCGAUUCUGGAAGUUGAAGCAAGUCCGUAAUGUCAAAUGUGACUUGUGUGCAAAAUUUAAAGUCAAUUGGAUGUGAUUUGAUAGGUUUGGGCAUCAUUUGUGGAUGUUUAAGGUAUGAUUCGUGUUUUUAGCGUUGUUUGAUGUGAUUUGAGGCCUCCACUAAGUCUGUGAUAUGUUUUGAGACUUGUUGGUAUGUUCGGACAGGGUCCCGAGUGGCUCGGGUGAGUUUCGGGAUGGUUUCAGGCCAUUUAUAAAACAUUUCUUUUUGGCUUCAGGGGUGUAUAGUGCGUUUGUAUAGAUCUGGCCAUCUUAGCAUAGAGCAAAUUUCAAAAAAUGGAGUUGUGCUAUGCGAUUGCAUAAGAGUUCCCACGGUCGCGUAGUGUAAAUCUCUACUGCACUGACCCGUCUUUGGAAGCUUAUACCUCACAAUCUAUAAGGAAUUUGAAGAUGAUCCAAACAUGUAAGUUGUAGCCCUUGAUGACUUGUUUUCAAAACGGUAAACUAAUUGUAAUUUGGAGUUUUGUACAAAACGUUAUGACCAUUAUACUAGAGCAUAUCCGGAAGAGUUGGAGAAGGCUGUUGGAAACUUUUGUUCUACGCCAUCGCGGGGAAUGACGACAAUCCCAUAGGGUAAAAUAAGGGUUGGAAAAUUUUGUGCUUCGCCAUCACAUUAGUCUAUCUGUGAUAGCAUAGGGUAAAUGCCUUGGCAGAUUAUAAAGUACUCUAUUUCGAGGUUUCGACUAUUUUUGCAUUUUUCGAGCUAUGGAGCUCGGAUUGAGGUGAUUUCUGAAGGGACUUUCAGAGAAGUGGUUGGGGUAAAUUUUCUUCACUUGUUUUUUGUUAAAUUCCAUGAUUGUAUCUUAAUUUUUAUCAUCUAAAUUGGGAAUUUGGGAUGAAAAUUAUGGGAAAAAUGGAAGAGAAUUGGAGAGGUGAUUUUGGUAAUUUGAAUGGCCAUUUAAUGACGUAUUUUGAUGAAUUUGGUAUGGGCAGACUCGUGAGUAAAUGAACUUUCUAGUUUAUGACUUUUGCCGGAUUCCUAGACGUGGGCCUUAGGAUCAGGUAUGAGUGAAUUUUUGGAUUUGUGCCUAAUUUGACAGUUUUCUUACGGAAUUCAUUCCAUUAGCACAUAUUGAUGGUAUUGUUCUGGUUGUGAGUCGAUUCAGAGUGAUUGGAGGCUGAGUCAAGGGACAAGAGCAUCACGGAGUAGAGAUUUGACCGGUUUGCAGUAAGUAACGAUUGUAAAUCUAGUCUUGAGUGUAUGAAACCCCGGAUUUUAUGUCGUUUUACAAUUUUGAGGUGACGCUUAUGCUAGGUGACAGGCGUGUGGGCGUGCACCGUUGGGGAUUGUGACUUGGUCCGUCCCGUAGUAACUAUAAAGUUGGGUAUUUUGUUGAAACUAUAUGAUAUUUAUGUGUUUUAGAAAGAGUUUCUAUAAAUUAGGCUGAAUGCCAUGUUUAGGCAUUGUGCCAGAGCUGUUUGGACACUGAGGGGCCUUUUUAUUACUAUCCUCUCACUAUUUUUGACUAAAAAUCUAUACUCAGUCAUGUUAUACUCAUUGAUUUCAUAACUCAGUCUUUAUUACUCUGUUUUGAUGCAUAUAAUUAUUGUUUUGCGGCUGAGUACCCUAUUUUUACUGAGAGACUGAGUGGCUUGAGAGAUUUUUACCCUAUGAAUGACUGAUUGAGGUCGAGGGCCUAAUUUAUGAGGAUAUUUAUGGGAUCGGGCUGCACGCCGCAACAUGUUGUUACUGAUUCAUGAUUUAGCGAGGCCGAGGGCCUGAUUGAUUUAUGCCACGAGGUGGCUUGUUAUAGCGCUUGAGCUGAAAGAGCCCCUCCGGAGUCUGCACACCCCCAGUGAGCGCAAGUACCUACUGAGUGAUAUCUUGCCCGAGGAGCUAUAUAUGAGUGAUGGUGAGGUAUGCUCGAUGGGCUUUAUACGAGUGAUUGUGAGGUUUGCCCAAUGGGCUAUAUAUGAGUGAUAUUUUGCCUGAGGGGCUGUAGAAGAGUGUUGUUUUACCCGAGGGGCUUUUUAUGAUUUCAUCAUUUUUUCUCACUGUUGCAUUGAGCCUCUGUUUGAGAUCCGUCGAAAAAUAUCUUGAAAUGAUUUUACUGGAACUGAGUUUAAACGAAAUGAUUUGAUUCAAACUCUUCUUUUAAAAUCAUGUUGUAUUUUUACUGAGAUUUUAUGACAUGAACUUUAUAUGCUUUAUUGCUCGUCAUUACUUCUCAGCCUUUAUUUACUUUGGUUACUAACUGAGUUGACAUACUCACGUUACUCCCUGUACCUUGUGUGCAGAUCCAGGCGUUUAUAGACGCGGUAGCGAGUGUUGAUUGUUCAGUUGCGGAUCCAUCAGAGUUAGCAAGGUAGCUUCCUGGCGAUCGCAACCCUGCUUUCCUCCCUCUUUAUCUUUCCUUAGUUGUAUUCAGUUAUUUCUGGACUAUGUUAGUCUUGAUAUUGUCAGACGACUGUGGUAGAUGCUCAUGACUAGUGACACCUCGAUGGUGGUAUUUUCUUUCCGCACUUUCGUUAUUCAAAUUUUCUUUAUGAAGUUUAAUUAUUAAAUAGCGUGAUUUUAUCUUUGAAAUUGAAAUAUCACAUUGUUUGUUGUAGAGAGUCAGUUUGCCUAGUAUCACGUUAGGCGCCAUCACGACAUGGUAGUUUGGGUCGUGACAGGUGUCAAAGCCCCUCCACUUAUGUGUUCAAAAUAAGAACUAUACAAUGC
rnacentral:lncRNA from 1 species